UGCGUAGGCGGCGCGGUAAGUCGGGUGUGAAAUCUCGGAGCUUAACUCCGAAACUGCAUUCGAUACUGCCGUGCUUGAGGACUGGAGAGGAGACUGGAAUUUACGGUGUAGCGGUGAAAUGCGUAGAUAUCGUAAGGAAGACCAGUGGCGAAGGCGGGUCUCUGGACAGUUCCUGACGCUGAGGCACGAAGGUCAGGGGGACAAACG
rnacentral:rRNA from 1 species